rnacentral:rRNA from 1 species
AAAGCUGGCCUUCGGGUCCGCAUUGUAAUUUGUAGAGGAUGCUUUGGGUGAAACGCCAGUCUAAGUUCCUUGGAACAGGACGUCAUAGAGGGUGAGAAUCCCGUAUGUGACUGGAAAUGUUAACCUAUGUAAAGCUCCUUCGACGAGUCGAGUUGUUUGGGAAUGCAGCUCUAAAUGGGAGGUAAAUUUCUUCUAAAGCUAAAUAUUGGCGAGAGACCGAUAGCGCACAAGUAGAGUGAUCGAAAGAUGAAAAGCACUUUGGAAAGAGAGUUAAAAAGCACGUGAAAUUGUUGAAAGGGAAGCGCUUGCAAUCAGACUUGUUUAAACUGUUCGGCCGGUCUUCUGACCGGUUUACUCAGUUUGGACAGGCCAGCAUCAGUUUCGGCGGCCGGAUAAAGGCUCUGGGAAUGUGGCCUUCACUUCGGUGAAGGUGUUAUAGCCCAGGGUGUAAUACGGCCAGCCGGGACUGAGGUCCGCGCUUCGGCUAGGAUGCUGGCGUAAUGGUUGUAAGC